rnacentral:rRNA from 1 species
GAUGAACGCUGGCGGCGUGCCUAAUACAUGCAAGUCGAGCGAACAGAUAAGGAGCUUGCUCCUUUGACGUUGGCGGCGGACGGGUGAGUAACACGUGGGUAACCUACCUAUAAGACUGGAAUAACUCCGGGAAACCGGGGCUAAGGCCGGAUAACCUUUAGAACCGCAUGGUUCUAAAGUGAAAGAUGGUUUUGCUAUCACUUAUAGAUGGACCCGCGCCGUAUUAGCUAGUUGGUAGGGUAACGGCUUACCAAGGCAACGAUACGUAGCCGACCUGAGAGGGUGAUCGGCCACACUGGAACUGAGACACGGUCCCGACUCCUACGGGAGGCAGCAGUAGGGAAUCUGCCGCAAUGGGCGAAAGCCUGACGGAGCAGCGCCGCGUGAGUGAUGAAGGUCUUCGGAUCGUAAAACUCUGUUAUUAGGGAAGAACAAAUGUGUAAGUAACUGUGCACGUCUUGACGGUACCGAAUCAGAAAGCCACGGCUAACUACGUG